AUGCCUGCCUGUAAGAUAACAAGAACCAGGAAGAACAAGUCUGGGAGAUCUUUUAGCGACUAUUUCCAGCCCCACACAUUCCCCCUUGACUGCAUGCGCACGCAGGUACACAUCUGCACUCCCACAAAUCACACAUGCACACGCGCACGCACACACACACAGAGGCAGGCACAGACGGGGCGAGGAAGCCGUGGCCCAGAAAGCCCACCUGACUCUCCCAAGCAGAAGAGCAGGCAGUACCCAGGAGACAAAGGGAAUGCCCACCCAGAACGGCUCAGACCCCACAAGCCAUGGAUCUGUGAGAGGACUCGCUGGCCAGCCGGCACCUUCCCCGAAACAGCAGCUACCCUGGCAGAUGCUGGUCAGCCAGUGACAGGCUCAGAAGAGAAUUCAGCCGUAAAUCUGGAGGUCACACUAACGGCUCUAAGGAGCCAGGGCGAGGUCCCUACAGAGCUGUCGCCCGCACCAGCCCUGGUGGGCCCCCUCCUCUCACCCGUGCUUCUCCCAGGAACCCAUCUGCGCCCAAGGGGUAGGAUAAGUGCCCCCAGCACAGAAGGAAGUCGCUUCGCACCCAUGACCAUGCUUAACAAACAAGAGGCUGCCACUGGUGUCGGGCAGUGACUGUCACCCCACUUGACAGACGAGGACGCUGGGGCUCGGAGAGGUGGGUGGCUGCUCAGGUCACAGGGUCAGCAAAGCACAAAGCCUCCAGCGACCCCUGUGUGGCUGGCUUAGAAGCCCCACUCCACGCAGCUGCCUCGCUGGCAGAGGCCUCAACCUUAGAGGGGCGUGAUUCCAGCCCUUGUCCUCUGGCAAAGAGCAGAUCAGGGCACAGUGUCCCCUCCACAGGGUCACCUCCUUGGGGGGAGCAGGCCACAUCUCUUUGCUCAUGGAUAAACCGGGGUCAGCCACCACACGCACUCUGUCAUGGGAAAAGCAUUUUUAUCCAGGUCCCUCCAGCUCGUGGACCCUGUGGAGAGCCAGCCACGAGGCUGAGUGCUGGGAAGAGGGUACGUUUCAUCAUCCCGUCCAGGGUUGUGUGGCUAGUGAGUCCAAGGUGAUAGGUUUUCAACGGCCACUUGGCUUUCCAAAUUUCACAGGCUGUUCCCAGAUGCAGACGGCAGCCCGUGUGGACACGGCUGAUGAGAUGCAAGUCAAUACCAUACACGCUGCUGAGCGGGGACUCUCCCCGCCUCCCUCCUCCCGGCAUCUCCAUUUUUCCAAAAGCAUAAAGAGGGUGUCGGUGCAAGAUGAAUGGAGCUCGGGAGGGGACAGCCGCACGGGGAGCUGCAGCCGGCAUCUCCGGGCCGAGAGGGCGCUUGCCAGAGUGGCUGGGGCCUGGCUCCUCUGGCUUUUACACCCCCCGGGAGCCAGGUCUCUGAGGGUGGGAGGAUAAAUGAGGUGCGCUCUGGAGCCAUGGAAAACCAGGCCAGGUUCAAAGGGAGAUGCAGCUACGUUUGCUGAGUGGGCGAGGGUGAUGCGGUGCCAGUGGGUAAGGGGGAAACCGCCUCCCAGCCUGUGGCCAGCAAGCCAACACUCCUUAACGCCCCAUUUAUCACCUGAGCAUGUGGGUAUGAGAAGGAACAAGGUUUAGCAAGAUGAGUGAGGAGGGGUCUGGA
rnacentral:lncRNA from 1 species